GGGUUUGAAAGUAUACUAGAGGGAAUAUAUGGACCAAGGCUGCUGCAAGAUCUCAAUAUAUUUGAUGAGUGUGAACCAGAGGAUGUGGAUGAUUGGUCCAUUAAUGCAAACUGCUCUUUUUGCAACCUGCAGCUAGAGAAACCGAAUAGCCACCCUGCUGUGGCCGUGCCUGGCUCGCCACCCCCUGCUGAAACCCCCCCACCUCAGGGCCUGUCCACCUCUGAUAAACUCCAGUGCCAAGCAGACCGAUUCCUCAAUGCUAUUUUUCGUAAGAA